rnacentral:rRNA from 1 species
GAGCACGUAGGUGGGUUUGUAAGUCAUAUGUGAAAGCCUUCUGUUCAACGGAAGAAUUGCAUCUGAAACUGCUAAUCUUGAGUAUAGGAGGGGAGAAUGGAACUUCUGGUGGAGCGGUGAAAUGCGCAGAUAUCAGAAGGAACGCCGGCGGCGAAAGCGAUUCUCUGGCCUAUUACUGACACUCAGUGUGCGAAAGCUAGGGGAGCAAACGGGAUUAGAUACCCCGGUAGUCCUAGCCGUAAACGAUGGGCACUAAGUAGAGGGAAUUACCGAUGUUCUCUCUGCCGUAGCUAACGCAUUAAGUGCCCCGCCUGGGGAGUACGGCCGCAAGGCUAAAACUCAAAAGAAUUGACGGGGGCUCGCACAAGCGGUGGAGCAUGUGGCUUAAUUCGAUGCAACGCGAAAAACCUUACCGGGGCUUGACAUGAUAGAAGUAGGAACCUGAAAGGGGGACGAACGGUAUCCAGUCCGUAGCUAUUACAGGUGUUGCAUGGCUGUCGUCAGCUCGUGUCGUGAGACGUUGGGUUAAGUCCCCUAACGAGCGAAACCCUUGUUUUUAGUUACCAGCGGGUUAUGCCGGGUACUCUAGAAAGACUGCCGUCGUCAAGACGGAGGAAGGUGGGGAUGACGUCAAGUCAUCAUGGCCCUUAUGCCCCGGGCUGCACACGUGCUACAAUGGUCGGUACAAACGGAAGCGAAGCCGAGAGGUGAAGCGAAUCC